rnacentral:rRNA from 1 species
AUUGAACGCUGGCGGCAGGCCUAACACAUGCAAGUCGAACGGUAACAGGAAGCAGCUUGCUGCUUUGCUGACGAGUGGCGGACGGGUGAGUAAUGUCUGGGAAACUGCCCGAUGGAGGGGGAUAACUACUGGAAACGGUAGCUAAUACCGCAUAACGUCGCAAGACCAAAGAGGGGGACCUUAGGGCCUCUUGCCAUCGGAUGUGCCCAGAUGGGAUUAGCUAGUAGGUGGGGUAACGGCUCACCUAGGCGACGAUCCCUAGCUGGUCUGAGAGGAUGACCAGCCACACGGGAACUGAGACGCGGUCCAGCCUCCUAGGGGAGGCAGCAGGGGGGAAUAUUGCACAAUGGGCGCAGGCUUGAUGCGCCCAGGCGGGGUGAAGGAAGAAGGCCUUCGGGUGGUAAAGUAUUUCAAGCGGGGAGGAAGGGAGAAAAGUGAAUACCUUUGCUCAUGGCGUUACCCCAAAAAAGAGACCCCGACUACCCCCGUC